UACGGAAGGCAGCAGUGGGGAAUAUUGCACAAUGGGCGCAAGCCUGAUGCAGCCAUGCCGCGUGUAUGAAGAAGGCCUUCGGGUUGUAAAGUACUUUCAGCGGGGAGGAAGGCGAUGCGGUUAAUAACCGCGUCGAUUGACGUUACCCGCAGAAGAAGCACCGGCUAACUCCGUGCCAGCAGCCGCGGUAAUACGGAGGGUGCAAGCGUUAAUCGGAAUUACUGGGCGUAAAGCGCACGCAGGCGGUCUGUUAAGUCAGAUGUGAAAUCCCCGGGGCUUAACCUGGGAACUGCAUUUUGAAACUGGCAGGCUUGAGUCUUGUAGAGGGGGUAGAAUUCCAGGUGUAGCGGUGAAAUGCGUAGAGAUCUGGAGGAAUACCGGUGGCGAAGGCGGCCCCUGGACAAAGCUGACGCUCAGGUGCGAAAGCGUGGGGAGCAAACAGGAUUAGAUACC
rnacentral:rRNA from 1 species